AUUGAACGCUGGUGGCAGGCUUAACACAUGCAAGUCGAGCGGAGAUGAGGUGCUUGCACCUUAUCUUAGCGGCGGACGGGUGAGUAAUGCUUAGGAAUCUGCCUAUUAGUGGGGGACAACAUUCCGAAAGGAAUGCUAAUACCGCAUACGUCCUACGGGAGAAAGCAGGGGAUCUUCGGACCUUGCGCUAAUAGAUGAGCCUAAGUCGGAUUAGCUAGUUGGUGGGGUAAAGGCCUACCAAGGCGACGAUCUGUAGCGGGUCUGAGAGGAUGAUCCGCCACACUGGGACUGAGACACGGCCCAGACUCCUACGGGAGGCAGAAGUGGGGAAUAUUGGACAAUGGGGGAAACCCUGAUCCAGCCAUGCCGCGUGUGUGAAGAAGGCCUUAUGGUUGUAAAGCACUUUAAGCGAGGAGGAGGCUACUGAGACUAAUACUCUUGGAUAGUGGACGUUACUCGCAGAAUAAGCACCGGCUAACUCUGUGCCAGCCGCCGCCGUAACAC
rnacentral:rRNA from 1 species